rnacentral:lncRNA from 1 species
GACUUGCUCUUGCACUCCCAGGAACCUGACAACAAAAUCUGUCUUCCUACCGAAAAGAUCUGCUCCUUCCCUUCCCUCCUUUAUCCUGUGUGGCUGACUUCAGCCCUUGAGAGAAAAUAACUGAGGGGCUCAAGCAGAAACUUCAGAUGAGUGGACUGGUCACGUGAUACAGCAAUGACAAAAACUUCAGUAUUGGCAUUCAUUCCAGCUGAUGGCAUUCCAGGAGCUUUUAAUGAAUUAAAGCCACAUUUGCCUGAAGAAGCCAGCGAAGUUACUAACUGGUUCAAAAACGAUUAUGUGCAUGAUGGGCAGUAUUGUUGCAGUUCAAUCACCAGUAUUGCUUCCACCAGAUUUGUGGUCUAUAUAUGUGUGCAUAUGGAAUAGAUUUCCACAGACCCACAACACGGAAGCAUGGCACAGAAGAUGGGAAAAAAUGGGGAAUACUCAUGUAGUUGUAUACUAAACCAUAGAAGAAUUUUGAAAAGAGCAGUGUCACAUGGAAAAUAAAUGUGAACAUAUUCUCCAAGGACAGCCAUGUCGUAAAAGAAAAAAAGCAGCUAUUUUUUGUGAUGUGAGACUUAAAAAUAUAGUUAAUGACUGUGAAAGUUGGCCAGCUCUUAUGGACUAUCUCCAUGCAAUUGCCCAUAAUCUAG